UGACUUGAGAGGUGUAGGAUAA
rnacentral:siRNA from 1 species